UCUUCUCCUCUCUCGUUCUUCUUUCUUCUUUUCUUCUCUUUUCUUCUUCUGUUUUCUUCUCCGGCGAUUCUGAGCAUCGAUUUGAGGGAAUCGAUCGAUGAUGUUUUUAGUAUAUAAUCAAAUAAGGUUUUGUGGUGGUGUUCAUGUUGGUUGAUCAUGAGAAUAAGAGGAGAUGACGAUCUGUAUAGAAACCAGAUAGUUCAAGCCAUGGAAGAAUUGAUUAAUUGAAGGAGGAUUUGAUUAGUUGGUGAUGAAGAACAAAAAGGGUUAGUGUUUAAUUGAAGUUCUGAAGAUAAUUCGAUGAUGAAUUGAUAAGUUAGGGUUUCAUGAGGAGAGCUCUGAGAAUAUUUGGAAAGUGAAUAUGAUGCUAUAGAUAGAUGAUUAGAAGUGGGUUUAGUCGAUUAAGAAACGGGGUGAAGUUAAUUAGAUGUUGGGGAUGUUCUGAGGAAGAAUUGAAAAAUUAUGGUUCAUGUGUUCUUACGCAAAUUAGAACUAGGGUUUUGAGUAUUGAAUCAAAUGUUGGUUUGAAGCUAAUGAAGAACUUGGGUUUGAUUCUCGUGUAAAGAUGAGGAUGGCUAUUGAGGAGUUGUUAUUAGUCCUGAGAUGAGUUGAUGAAUAGAGUCAGGUGAAGGAGAACUGAAUUCAAUUUCCUGAGCAACACUGUUUUGAGUUGAACUGAGUUGCAAGUGGAAUUGGAUGUUAAUGCAGGAUGUAGUAUCUGUGGUGUUGUUGCACAGUUGGUGGUGUGAGAUGGAUAUUGCAGAUAGAACCAAUGUGUGUGUGUUGCAGAUGAAGAAGUUGUUUACACUAGAGUUGAACUGUUGGAACUGAAAUGUUUGGUGGCUGGUGUUGACAGUGUUAAGCUAAAACUGAAAUAUGGAAGUAUGCAAUAUUGGUGAUGUUUCUUAGAGUUGGACUUGUAGUUAGCAAUUGCUGAGAAAGCUUGGAAUUGCUAGUGUUGCAGGUAGGCUUAAAAUUACAGUUGUAUUGAAUUUUUGAAUUCUAUUUGAAUAAAUGAAAUGUUUAGUAGUUGUAUAAA